AUACGUAGGGGGCGAGCGUUGUCCGGAAUGAUUGGGCGUAAAGGGCGCGUAGGCGGCCCGGUAAGUCUGGAGUGAAAGUCCUGCUUUUAAGGUGGGAAUUGCUUUGGAUACUGUCGGGCUUGAGUGCAGGCGAGGUAAGUGGAAUUCCCAGUGUAGCGGCGAAAUGCGUAGAGAUUGGGAGGAACACCAGUGGCGAAGGCGACUUACUGGACUGUAACUGGCGCUGAGGCGCGAAAGUGUGGGGAGCAAACAGGAUUAGAUACCCUGGUAGUCCACACUGUAAACGAUGAAUGCUAGGUGUAGGGGGUAUCGACCCCUUCUGUGCCGCAGUAAACACAAUAAGCAUUCCGCCUGGGGAGUACGGCCGCAAGGUUGAAACUCAAAUGAAUCGGCGGGG
rnacentral:rRNA from 1 species